rnacentral:SRP_RNA from 1 species
GCCGAGCUCAGUUACAAGAGCUUGUAACCCGAGUGGGGACAUUAAGGUGAUGUGGACGCUGUUGUCGUGCUGUGGGCCUGGCCCGGGUGCGCUAUUGCUGGCCCGCCCGUUCUAAGUUGUGUGGUGGACUGGCUAGGGCCUAUGCGAAAGCUGGGUCUCACGGUCCAUAAUGUGGCAGGCACAGCUUCCAACGGUGGAAGGAUAACGGGCCACUGCACUCCUUGGCCGCUUGGGCCUCGCAGCCUACUCCAGUGAACCAUCACUUUU